rnacentral:lncRNA from 1 species
CUUUUUGUUUCAUUUGGAAUGUUUUUCAGUUCUAGAAUUUAUGUUUGGUUGUGUAGCAUAGAUUCUAGUUCACUGAAGAAAAUCUCAAACUAGAAGUAAACAAUCAUCUUAAAAUCAGUGAAUCUAGGUAUAUUUUGGGACCUAAGACAAGGCUUUCACUCUCCAAAGCAGAUGUCUGUGUCCUUUCUGGCGGGCAUCUAAGGGCUCCAGCAAUACUGAAUCGACUGCAAAUCGCACAUUGAAAACGUUUCCACCUCAGCCUCAGUUUCUGCAAAGCUGCUGCAUUUCCAGUUCACCUUCACUUCCAGCUCUCUUGGAAUAGGCUCCUGUUUGUAUCUGGUUUUGUUGAGGCCACGCGGAUGAGUUAG